UGCGUAGGCGGUUAUAUCAGUCGGGUGUUAAAUCCUUGGGCUCAACCCAAGGCUCGCAUUCGAAACAGUAUAACUAGAAGAAGUCAGAGGUAAGCAGAACUCUCGGUGUAGGGGUGAAAUCCGUUGAUAUCGAGGGGAAUACCAAAUGCGAAGGCAGCUUACUGGGACUUUCUUGACGCUGAGGCACGAAAGCGUGGGUAGCGAACG
rnacentral:rRNA from 1 species